rnacentral:rRNA from 1 species
AUUGAACGCUGGCGGCAGGCCUAACACAUGCAAGUCGAGCGGAGCGGCGGACGGGUGAGUAAUGCCUAGGAAUCUGCCUGGUAGUGGGGGAUAACGUCCGGAAACGGGCGCUAAUACCGCAUACUAUCAGAUGAGCCUAGGUCGGAUUAGCCAGUGGGUGGGGUAAAGGCCUAACAAGGCGACGAUCCGUAACUGGUCUGAGAGGAUGAUCAGUCACACUGGAACUGAGACACGGCCCAGACUACUACGGGAGGAAGGAGUGGGGAAGAUUGGGCAAUGGGCGCAAGCCUGACCCAGCAACGCCGCGUGAAGGAAGACGGUCUUCGGAUUGUAAACUUCUUGAGACAGGGACGCGGUACCUGUAGAAUAAGCCACGGCUAACUACGUGCCAGCAGCCGCGGUAAUUC